rnacentral:misc_RNA from 1 species
GACUGAUCUGCUUCACUUUAAAGCAUCCCAAAUUGUUGAACAACAAUACUAACCGACUAAACGAUGCCCUCAAGGAUUGCUUUAGAUGAUAAAGAGAUCAACAUAAUAGACACAUUACUCCAGACUUCCUUUGCGCAAUGAACCCUGGUGUUUGCUUCAUAUAUAUUUCUUUGGCAAGUUCUCUAUGUAAGAAGGCAUUUUUUUAUGUCUUAACUGAUGUAAAAGACGAACAUAUGCAAUUUUUCCCACGAUAGAAAAAGUAUCAACAUAAUCAAGGCCCAAUACCUAAGUAUAUCCUUUGGCAACCAGUCAAGCUUUGAGACAAUCAACCUUCCCUUUUGAUCUUGCCUCAAUUGUGAACACUUAGCGACACCCAACUGCCGUUACUCCAAGUGGUUAUGGAACUCUCCUAAUGACGCCCAGGGCUAAGAAGAUGACAAACCCAGAUGUGGCUAGGAUGAAAUCUACUUUUCAAGUUGAGGUCACUAG